GUGCUUGCUUCUGCAGCACAUAUACUAAAAAUAGAAUGAUACAGAGUAGAUUAGCAUGGCCCCUGCACAAGGAUAACACAAAAAUUCAUGAAGCAUUCCAUAUUUUU
ensembl:snRNA U6 U6 spliceosomal RNA